rnacentral:piRNA from 1 species
ACCAUGGCUUGAUGUCUGAGGACA